AUUGAACGCUGGCGGCAUGCUUUACACAUGCAAGUCGAACGGUAACAGGCCUUCGGGUGCUGACGAGUGGCGAACGGGUGAGUAAUGCAUCGGAACGUGCCCAAUCGUGGGGGAUAACGUAGCGAAAGUUACGCUAAUACCGCAUAAGCCCUGAGGGGGAAAGCAGGGGAUCGCAAGACCUUGCGCGAAUGGAGCGGCCGAUGUCAGAUUAGCUAGUUGGUGGGGUAAUGGCCUACCAAGGCAACGAUCUGUAGCGGGUCUGAGAGGAUGAUCCGCCACACUGGGACUGAGACACGGCCCAGACUCCUACGGGAGGCAGCAGUGGGGAAUUUUGGACAAUGGGCGCAAGCCUGAUCCAGCCAUGCCGCGUGCGGGACGAAGGCCUUCGGGUUGUAAACCGACUUUCUAGCCGGAAAGAAAUACGCCGUUUUUAAUUACUAGACGGUGGAGUGACGGUACCGGAAGAAGAAGCACCGGCUAACUACGUGCCAGCAGCCGCGG
rnacentral:rRNA from 1 species